rnacentral:misc_RNA from 1 species
AACGCACCUUGCGCCCUUUGGCUAUUCCGAAGGGCAUGCCUGUUUGAGUAUCAUGAACACCUCAACUCUCAUGGUUUGCCAUGAUGAGCUUGGACUUUGGGGGUCUUGUUGGCCUGUGAGCCAGCUCCUCUUAAAUGGAUUAGCUUGCCGGUUUUUGGUGGCGUCACAGGUGUGAUAACUAUCUACGCUUGUGGUUUCCCACCAGGUAACCUUCAGCAAUGGAGGUUCACCGGAGCUCAUAAAUGUCUCUCCUCAGCGAGGACAGAUUUUGACCGUUUGAUCUCAAAUCAGGUAGGACUACCCGCUGAACUUAA